UACGAAGGGGCUAGCGUUGCUCGGAAUCACUGGGCGUAAAGGGCGCGUAGGCGGCCGAUUAAGUCGGGGGUGAAAGCCUGUGGCUCAACCACAGAAUUGCCUUCGAUACUGGUUGGCUUGAGACCGGAAGAGGACAGCGGAACUGCGAGUGUAGAGGUGAAAUUCGUAGAUAUUCGCAAGAACACCAGUGGCGAAGGCGGCUGUCUGGUCCGGUUCUGACGCUGAGGCGCGAAAGCGUGGGGAGCAAACAGG
rnacentral:rRNA from 1 species